rnacentral:SRP_RNA from 1 species
GGAGGCUGGCAACGGGCAGUUCGCCCGCCAACCCGGUCAGGUCCGAGAGGAAGCAGCCGUAACGGGUAGCGCUGGGUCGUUGUUCAGUCUCCUAU